UCUGAUAGUGGAUAUCAAUAAUAUUUUUUUAACAUGUGCAAAGGCAAUAAAUACUUGGUGCGCCAUCAACUUAUAUAAAAUCUGCUCAUAGCAUUAUCCAGCAUUCAAACGAAAACCGCUAAGGUCUUUUACAAGAGUAGACUAUAAAUCCACAAACUGGGAGUGUUCAAAAUACCGAAACAACAACUUUUCAAAGAAAAAAAUCUGACCCAAGCAUUUUGACUAAAUCUUUAACAUGUUGUGGGAUGUUGGCUUCACACUCGUUGUCCAUGUAGGACAGCAUGUGUAUCACCGCUUUGUUCCGCAGAGUGUAACCAACCUACACAUGAAUUAUAUGUCAAUACUGCCCAAGAGUUCAAAUUUACAGUUCAUAAUAUGUUAGCACCAAAAUUUAGUACCCACCUUGACAUUUGCUGGGACUUCUUGGCCAUUCCACCACCGCAUAUAUGAUAGCACCAAAAAUCCUGACAUGAGGCUAUAGAGAAAGCAUACAUUAUUGUUAGCGAAAUUGUAGACAAGAUCUUGAAAAUCAGUAAUAACUACAUGGAUUCUAACCUGUCAUUGUUGAUUGGCAACCCACAUGGUGUGAUGCGACGCCAAAGAAAAACGUCAUCUUUCCAGCCUUUGAUUGCAUCUCCAAGAGCAAUGUUCAGGUCCGACUUUUGAUGUCCCUUGAAACUUGUUUGAAGAAUGGGCAGUGGUGUCGAUGUGUUCACUGCUCUUUCUGGUGCUGUUGGAGCUCUAUAUGGUACACUGCAUGGUGGCGCAAAUAAGAGAUUCAAUACAGUAGAGCAUUGGACGCUUGGUAGCACCCCAGAGCAAGUGGUAAGGGUGAAUACAUGUACGAGUAUAGAGUAUGGACCUGGAAUCAUUUUGCUCGGACGGGUAGAAGCCUUAUACAUAUGGUUAGUGAAGUUUGAUGUUAAGUGCAGUUUAGCGACUUCAUUGCUUUUUAGUAUUUAGUACUACAUGGUUACCGAA